rnacentral:lncRNA from 1 species
AGUAGGGUUGGGUAGUAUUCGAAGCUUACUGCUUCCAAGAAAAGUUUGGAUGAUUCCGCCAUCCCGGGUUGUAUGUAUUGGAAAAUGGGUCAUUACCCGAUCUGGGCUGUGUUUGAGCAGCAUUAAUGUGUUCUUAUACGAGUUCGGGGAAUUGGGGUGCUGAGGGGCACUCAUGAAUAGGGUGGGAUGGGCUAGAACAGAUAGCACACACUUGUGCUUGGGAAGAGUUAAUGAAAUGUCCUCCUAUCAUCCGUUGGUCAAUCUUAUGGGACAAUGC